rnacentral:lncRNA from 1 species
CCGCUCAUAUUUCAGUUAGCCAUAUAGUCAUUUGAGAUAGUAUUUGGAAUGUUUUUUUAUCUUGUUGCAAUCGGCUUGGGCCUGUCUGUGGUCUACCCUAUUACCCUUCAUAACUCAUCUUAUUGGUCCAUCACCAUCUGUUAAGAUGUUCAACUCUUCAACCUGCACAUAGAAAAUACCACAAAAGUUAUAUCUAGAGAGGAGAACAUCACUUUCCCCUUCAAUUCCUCCCUAACACAACAUGUUAGAACUCAUUUUUCACUUGAAACAUACUAAACCAAUUAACAGAGGGAACUCUGUCUCCCUCCUUCACGCAUCAUUCAUCACCCAGACUCAUCCCCGAC